UACAGAGGUCUCGAGCGUUGUUCGGAUUCAUUGGGCGUAAAGGGUGCGUAGGUGGCGAGGCAAGUCAGGUGUGAAAUCCCGGGACUCAACCCCGGAACUGCAUUUGAUACUGCCUUGCUCGAGUACUGGAGAGGAGACUGGAAUUUACGGUGUAGCAGUGAAAUGCGUAGAUAUCGUAAGGAAGACCAGUGGCGAAGGCGAGUCUCUGGACAGUUACUGACACUGAGGCACGAAGGCCAGGGGAGCAAACGGG
rnacentral:rRNA from 1 species